GUUAGGAAGACACUGGUGGCACCAAAAAUCAGAGGGCGCAAAAACCAAAAGGGUGGAAAAGGAAAAAUGGCGGUGAUACUCCGCCACGCCGCCGCCGCUGCGGCGCUCCUCGCCGUCGCGGCCGUCUGCGCCGGCGGGGCCUCCACGUUCUACUCCUCGGACCCCAAUCUCGGAUCCGCCCGCGUCGUCUUCCAGACAAAUUAUGGUGAUAUUGAGUUUGGCUUCUUUCCUCAUGUUGCGCCUAAGACUGUUGAGCACAUCUUCAAACUUGUGCGGCUUGGGUGCUACAACACAAAUCAUAUCUUCAGGGUCGACAAGGGAUUUGUGGUACAAGUUGCUGCUGUUGUGGGAGGUAGAACUGCCCCAAUGAAUGAGGUGCAGAAAAGAGAAGCAGAUAAAACAAUUGUUGGUGAAUUUAGUAGUGUCAAGCAUGUCAGGGGAAUCCUAUCCAUGGGAAGGCACUCAGAUCCAGAUAGCGGCGGUUCAUCCUUUUCUUUCCUUCUUGGCGAUGCUCCACACCUUGAUGGGCAGUAUGCUGUAUUUGGGAGGGUCACUAAAGGUGACGAUACAUUGAGAAAGCUAGAGAGGCUUCCAACCCGCAGAGAAGGCAUUUUUGUGAUGCCAAUUGAGCGAAUCGACAUCCUAUCAACAUACUAUUAUGAUAUUGAUAUAGAGAGCUGCGAAGCAGAAAAAUCUAUUCUUAGGAGGAGACUUUCUGAAUCAGCAUCAGAAGUUGAGCGAUGGAGAAGAAAAUGCUUUGCUUGAUGCUGGAUUGAGGCCAGUAGGCCAAUACAUCAACUAGAAAUUGUCUCUUCUGAAUCAGACCAGAAAUAGUUGGCUCAUCCCUUCUCCAGGGGCUGAUGGCCGAGGCAGAAUACGGACCGUAUGGAAAGUAAAUUCCCUGGAUGUGUAUGUCUUUAUACUCAACAGUUUUACAUGAGUCAAUGACAUAUAUAUAGCUGUAAUGCUAAGAAUAUAGAAACGUGGGUAGGACAUUCUGUGCAUCGUACUGUUGCUACACGAUGUCUCGGUAUGUACCAGUUGCGACAAGUUUAAGUUGAUCUCUCUUAUUCCCUUUUUAGCAUGGUUUUGCUAAACGAUGUAUGAUACUGGAACGUAUAAACUAUACUUGUGAGUUUGCGUCUCAGAGAAGGUGAAAUGACUAGUCUCCUAAA